rnacentral:rRNA from 1 species
CGGAACGGGUGAGUAAUACAUAAGUAACCUGCCCUAGACAGGGGGAUAACUAUUGGGAACGAUAGCUAAGACCGCAUAGGUACGGACACUGCAUGGUGACCGUAUUAAAAGUGCCUCAAAGCACUGGUAGAGGAUGGACUUAUGGCGCAUUAGCUGGUUGGCGGGGUAACGGCCCACCAAGGCGACGAUGCGUAGCCGACCUGAGAGGGUGACCGGCCACACUGGGACUGAGACACGGCCCAGACUCCUACGGGAGGCAGCAUG